AAAAAAAGGAACAUAAAUCUUUGGAGAAGGAAAAGAAAGUUUUAUAACUUCUUUGCUUAGUGUUUGCCUUAAGGUAUUACGUAUUUCUUUGACUUACUUAUAUAAUUUAUUUUUAUUAAUUAUUUGCCUUUAAUUACUUGUAUUAUGAUUUGGGUAAUAUAUGUGUGUUUGUAAUGCUGUGAUGAUAUGAACAGUCUGCAUUCUUUGCUUCAAAUCGUUUUCUUUAUUUAGAAUCACAUGAAUAUGUUUACAAAUCAUGAAACUAGACAUCCUAAGCUUUCCAUUGAUAGGUUUUUUGUUGAAAUCUUCUGAGUAUGCAAAUUGUUAUGAUUUUUCGAAAUUGGGUUACUGGUGCUGGAAAAUUCCGAUUUUCGGCCGCAGUUCUCACUUCUGGAAAUUUUUAUCCGUAAGGUUACACAUAUUUAAAAAUUAUGGAGAUUUUUGUAUCAACAGAUCUAUGUCUCGUAUGAUUACAUAUUUAAUUUCGUAAUUUUAUUCAUUAUGGUUAAAUUAUUAAAAAUCAUAACAUGCGGCUGCUGCAGAUCUGGAAACUGUUUUCCAGAAUUGCAGAAGCUGAAACAUGUAGCAGUUUGGGCAAAUUUAUGAACAUUAUAUGCCAUGUUAGAUUUUAUAAUGAAAUUUCAAUCUUUCCUCUGUCUUUAAAAAACUUGAAUCGCGAUUUUUGGGCAUGUAAAAUAAAAUAUAUGAAAAUUGGAAAUUCUGUCUUCAAAUCUGGAAUUUUCUGGACAGGUUAGAUGUUCUCGGAAAUAAAAUGCUUUUAAAAUAGUUUCAGGCGUCCCAAAAUUAUAAAUUUUAAUUAUAUGCUUUCUAAAUGUGUCUUCUGUAAAUAGAAAAAAGAAACGGAUUAUUUCGAGUACUAGAGAAUAUUUUAUGAAUUUCCUAAGUUGUAAAGGUCUGUUUUGGUCAAUGUUUGACAGUUUUGUUACUUUGGUGAAAGGUCAAUAUUCUGACUUGAUUUUCACUUGUACUGAUUUUUGUGAAAUUUUGUAUGCAAUGCUAUCCAUGUUCACAGUACCUCUGUAAAUUUUCAUGGUUUUCCGACAUGUGUAUAGGUUAUUAAAAAUCAGCAUGUGCAGGAUACUCAUGUUUAUGUCUAGAAUAUGUAUAAGUAUUGAGUUAGUACAAGUGCCUAUGAUUUAAGGAUGAUUGAGAUUAUGUUGAAGGUUAGAGAUAAUAUUGAUAAGGAUAUUGUUAUGAUGAUUAUUUGAAGGUUAGAGAUAAUAUUGAUAAGGAUAUUUUUAUGAUGAUUAUAGGACGUGGGUGAGCUCGUUGGUUUGUUCUUGAGGUAUUAAGUUGAUUGUUGCGGAUCGAAGUAAGUAGAUUCAUGCAUAAUGUGCUUUAUAAUAAAUGCAAUUUAUGUUAUAAGAAUUAUGUCUAAAUGAAAUUUUUUACAAAACUGAUUUCUAAAAUAUUUAAAUGGAUUUUGUAAAAUAAAAACACUUUUAAAUGAAUUUAUAAAAAUGUAUUUUAAAAUGAAAUUUUCUUAAGAAACUAGUUUUCUUAAACAAAAUGUUUUCUUAAAGAAUUUUCUAAACAAAUUAAAUGAUCAAAGAAAGAUUUUUAAAUGUUUUAGAGGACUUUAAAUGUUAUUUAUGAAAGGAUGUAUGGUGGAUUCAAAAAUGUUUUGGCUCAUAGUCCGUAGUAAUGCAUAUGAUGCUAAUGUUAUGAUGUUAUGUAAUGCUAUGGCCAGCUUGCUGGUAUGAUGAUGAUCUUGUGCACAAUGAUGUUAUGAACAAUGCGGGGUAUAGUACCCUGAAUGAUGAAUGAUGAUGACUAUGAGGCAUGAGCUACCAAAUGUUUAUGUUUUAAUGUUUUUAUGAAUGUUUUUAAUGCUUUUACAUGAAUCCAUCCCUUAUGCUAAAUGAAGAUGUUAGUGUAAGAUGAUAUAAAAUGUUUAAAGGUAUAAUAACAAAAGUUUUCAAAUAUCGUGUAUGGAUUUGCUUACCGAGUUGACGGCUCACCCCUCGUCUCCAAUAUUUUGCAGAUUGAUUAGAUAUGUGGCUUGGGUACUUAGAUGAAGAUUUUUUUUAGUGAAUCUUUGGAGUUGCUUUAAAGAUUAAUUUUAGCUAAACUUUUUAUUUUGGAUUAAAGAGUUUUCUUUGGAGACUUUAUUUCAGAUGUUUUAUGUAAGGAUCUAGUUAGAGUACGAAUAAUGAUUGUUAUCUUGAGGUUAAUUAAUAAGAACAAACGAUAUGAUGUUUUAUUCUAAUUUUACCCUUGUGCUUUCAUGGGUAGUUUUUUGGGGUGUUACAUAAUAAGUAUUGUUCAAAACUCUUAAGGACUAAAGAAAAACUUACCUUAUGAUUGUCUAUAUAUAUACAUUGCAUAGUACAUAUCAUACCAAGAAAUAAUAUGUGUGUGUGUGUAUCUUGAAUUUGAAAAAGGGAAAAUCCUCCAUGCUCAAGCUUCUACUUAAAUUUUUUGUUUUUGAAAUUAACUCUAUAGUUAAUUCUGAUAGUUGGAAAAUUUGGAAAUUGUUUGACUCCAUCCUCAAGCUUGUCAGGUCGUGUGGUCCGUGGCAAGAUCGUGAGAGGGAGAGAUUUCUUCAAGCCGAUUACGAUGAGAUCAUUUCAAUUCUGCAACGCUCAUCAUCACCUUUGGCUUCAAAAUCCAGGAAGGAUCUUUACAAUUAUCUUUGCACAAGUCCAAUAUUAAUAGGCGAUGGUGCCUUG
rnacentral:lncRNA from 1 species